rnacentral:lncRNA from 1 species
UCGACUUUGCAGCUCGGUUAUGCCAAAAGUACGCGAUAUACACUUUGUAAUUAUAUUUCUUACCACCGUUUCUCUCCCAAACACCUUUCAUAUAUUUACUCCGCCAGUUGAAGUGUGGAGCCAUCUUCUUUUGCAAAGGCUGCUUGUGAAAUCCGGCUCUUGGAUUUCACUAUUGUAAUUUACGUAUUUUGUAUUCGUG